AUCGAACGCUGGCGGCAGGCCUAACACAUGCAAGUCGAGCGGAUGAAGGGAGCUUGCUCCUGGAUUCAGCGGCGGACGGGUGAGUAAUGCCUAGGAAUCUGCCUGGUAGUGGGGGAUAACGUCCGGAAACGGGCGCUAAUACCGCAUACGUCCUGAGGGAGAAAGUGGGGGAUCUUCGGACCUCACGCUAUCUGAUGAGCCUAGGUCGGAGUAGCUAGCUGGUGGGGUAAAGGCCUACCAAGGCGACGUUCCGCACCUAGUCUGAGAGGAUGAUCAGUCACAUUGGAAGUGAGGCACGGACCAGACUCCUGCGGGAGGCAGCAGUGGGGAAUAUUGGAGAAUGGGCGAGAGCCUUAUCCAGCGAUGCCGCGUGUGUGAAGAAGGUCUUCGGAUUGUAAAGCACUGUAAGUUGGGAGAAAGGGCAGUAAGUUAAUACCUUGCGGUUUUGACGUUACCAGCAGAAGAAGCACCGGCUAACUUCGUG
rnacentral:rRNA from 1 species